rnacentral:rRNA from 1 species
AUUGAACGCUGGCGGCAUGCCUUACACAUGCAAGUCGAACGGUAACAGGUCUUCGGAUGCUGACGAGUGGCGAACGGGCGAGUAAUACAUCGGAACGUGCCUAGUAGUGGGGGAUAACUACUCGAAAGAGUGGCUAAUACCGCAUGAGAUCUACGGAUGAAAGCAGGGGAUCGCAAGACCUAGUGCUACUAGAGCGGCCGAUGGCAGAUUAGGUAGUUGGUGGGAUAAAAGCUUACCAAGCCGACGAUCUGUAGCUGGUCUGAGAGGACGAUCAGCACACUGGGACUGAGACACGGCCCAGACUCCUACGGGAGGCAGCAGUGGGGAAUUUUGGACAAUGGGCGCAAGCCUGAUCCAGCAAUGCCGCGUGCAGGAUGAAGGCCUUCGGGUUGUAAACUGCUUUUGUACGGAACGAAAAGCCCCGGGUUAAUACCCUGGGUUCAUGACGGUACCGUAAGAAUAAGCACCGGCUAACUACGUGCCAGCCGCCGCCGUAA